UACGGAGGGUGCGAGCGUUGUCCGGAAUCACUGGGCGUAAAGGGCGCGUAGGUGGCGGCUUAAGCGUGCGGUGAAAGCUCGGGGCUCAACCCCGAGUCGGCCGUGCGAACUGAGUCGCUUGAGCACUGUAGAGGCAGGCGGAAUUCCGGGUGUAGCGGUGGAAUGCGUAGAGAUCCGGAAGAACACCGGUGGCGAAGGCGGCCUGCUGGGCAGUAGCUGACACUGAGGCGCGACAGCGUGGGGAGCAAACAGG
rnacentral:rRNA from 1 species